CUUAAAUCUUAUCCUAUCAGUUCACUUGUUCUCUUUUAAGUGUAUAACAACAAACAAGUUAUACUCCAUGACCUCCUAUUUGCGCAAGGCAACGCCACCACCACUACCACAAUUCAAUAAUCUCCACCGUACCUUUGCCCUGCUCUAAGUUGCUACUCUCACGCACCGACCCAGCUCACGCAACCACCCGGUUCACACCCUUCUUCUUCCUCCUCCAUUUAUAGCUUGUUCUAUAGAAAAAACCCACUACUCCAUUUGUGCAAGUCAAAAAGAAUCUAACCUCAGAGCUCAGUGAGAACGAUAGAAUAAAGGCUAAUAGGAAGGUUAUCAGACUGUAAAUCGAGGUACUGCUGGGGAUGAUGGAGACGAGUAGUAGCGAGGAUUUUACUUUCAGUUAUCACUUAAUAGUAGUUAUAGUCUUAAGUUGUUUAAUUUGAAUAGUAAGACUAAGCUACUUAGUAAAGUUUGAGAUAAGAUAGGAUUUUCUAUCAUAAAAAUUAAGAAUAAUGUUUGUUAUAAAUAGAUUACUAUGUUUUAUAAAUCAAGUUUGUUAAUUAAGUAUGUUUGUUGCCUUGUAAAUCUCGUGAGGGAUUUACGGUAGCGACGUCCCGACCGUGUUAGGUUAAUUCCGCUGCUAAGAUUAUCUUAAUAACUGAAUUAGAGGUCGGGGCGUUACAAAAACAAAUGCAUCGAGAAUUGGGAUGACAUUUGUACCUUGUUUGCACCUGAUAGAGCAAUAGGAGAUGGUGCUGAGCAACAUGAAGAAGCUGCUGCAGCAAUGGAGAAUGAAAAUGAUAAUGCAAGUACAUCAGAAACGGCUUCCGGAGAUUCAAACAAAAGGUUAAAAAGGGAUCGUCUUGCAGAUGCUGUGAGUAGCUUUGCCCAAUCUUUCAAGGAGUACGUGAGUAAAUCAACAAGGCCAACUAGUCAAGAAAUCUACAAGGAAGUGUCUAGUGUACUUGAAAUAUCUCGACACCAAGCUUUGAGGGCGGUUAAGAGAUUCUUAAAUGGCACAUUCGAGGAAUUUGACAUGCUGAAAAAUUUACCCGAUGAUCAAAAAUUAGAUUGGAUCAUUUUGUGUAUUGAUGAGUAGUAGUGUUGUAAGUUAAGAGAUAAUUAGAGUUAAUUUGGAACUUAGGUAUUGAAAUUUAGAAUUUGGAAUUCCAUUGUUUCCCAAACAACAACUAGAAUUUGAAAUUCUAGAAUUGAAAUUCUCUUGUUUCCCAAA